rnacentral:rRNA from 1 species
UACGUAGGGGGGCAAGCGUUGUCCGGAUUCAUUGGGCGUAAAGAGCGUGUAGGCGGCCAGGUAGGUCGGUUGUGAAAACUGGAGGCUCAACCUUCAGAGGUCGACCGAAACCAUCUGGCUAGAGUCCGGGAGAGGAGAGUGGAAUUCCUGGUGUAGCGGUGAAAUGCGCAGAUAUCAGGAGGAACACCGGUGGCGAAGGCGGUUCUCUGGGCAUUACCUGACGCUGAGGAGCGAAAGUGUGGGGAGCGAACAGG